GACGAACGCUGGCGGCGUGCUUAACACAUGCAAGUCGAACGGAAAGGCCCUGCUUUUGUGGGGUGCUCGAGUGGCGAACGGGUGAGUAACACGUGAGUAACCUGCCCUUGACUUUGGGAUAACUUCAGGAAACUGGGGCUAAUACCGGAUAGGAGCUCCUGCUGCAUGGUGGGGGUUGGAAAGUUUCGGCGGUUGGGGAUGGACUCGCGGCUUAUCAGCUUGUUGGUGGGGUAGUGGCUUACCAAGGGUUUGACGGGUAGCCGGCCUGGGAGGGUGACCGGCCACAUUGGGACUGAGAGACGGCCCAGACUCCUACGGGAGGCAGCAGUGGGGAAUAUUGCACAAUGGGCGGAAGCCUGAUGCAGCAACGCCGCGUGCGGGAUGACGGCCUUCGGGUUGUAAACCGCUUUCGCCUGUGACGAAGCGUGAGUGACGGUAAUGGGUAAAGAAGCACCGGCUAACUACGUG
rnacentral:rRNA from 1 species